GAAAACCCGCAGCUCAACUGCGGGCUUGCAGGCGAUACGGGCAGACUUGAGUACUGCAGGGGAGACUGGAAUUCCUGGUGUAGCGGUGAAAUGCGCAGAUAUCAGGAGGAACACCGGUGGCGAAGGCGGGUCUCUGGGCAGUAACUGACGCUGAGGAGCGAAAGCGUGGGUAGCGAACAGGAUUAGAUACCCUGGUAGUCCACGCCGUAAACGGUGGGCGCUAGGUGUGGGUUUCCUUCCACGGGAUCCGUGCCGUAGCUAACGCAUUAAGCGCCCCGCCUGGGGAGUACGGCCGCAAGGCUAAAACUCAAAGGAAUUGACGGGGGCCCGCACAAGCGGCGGAGCAUGUGGAUUAAUUCGAUGCAACGCGAAGAACCUUACCUGGGUUUGACAUACACCGGACCGCCCCAGAGAUGGGGUUUCCCUUGUGGUCGGUGUACAGGUGGUGCAUGGCUGUCGUCAGCUCGUGUCGUGAGAUGUUGGGUUAAGUCCCGCAACGAGCGCAACCCUUGUCCUGUGUUGCCAGCAAUUCGGUUGGGGACUCGCAGGAGACUGCCGGGGUCAACUCGGAGGAAGGUGGGGACGACGUCAAGUCAUCAUGCCCCUUAUGUCCAGGGCUUCACACAUGCUACAAUGGCCGGUACAGAGGGCUGCGAUACCGCGAGGUGGAGCGAAUCCCUUAAAGCCGGUCUCAGUUCGGAUCGGGGUCUGCAACUCGACCCCGUGAAGUCGGAGUCGCUAGUAAUCGCAGAUCAGCAACGCUGCGGUGAAUACGUUCCCGGGCCUUGUACACACCGCCCGUCACGUCAUGAAAGUCGGUAACACCCGAAGCCGGUGGCCUAACCCCUCGUGGGAGGGAGCCGUCGAAGGUGGGAUCGGCGAUUGG
rnacentral:rRNA from 1 species